rnacentral:RNase_P_RNA from 1 species
CGAUGGCAGAUGAUCGCUGGCGAGCCGCUUGCGGCUUGCUGGAGGAAAGUCCGAACACCAUACGGCAACAUGCCGCGUAAAAUACGCGGGCACCGCGGUUGAAAAACUUCGGUGACGGAAAGUGUCACAGAAAAGACACCGCCGGUUCUUUGGCAACAAAGCUCAGGUAAGGGUGAAAAGGCGAGGUAAGAGCUCACCGCUCGCGAAGCAAUUUGCGAGGCAGGAAAAACCCCAUGCGGUGCAAGACAAAACAGAGGGAGGGCAGCCGGCUCGUUUGAUCCUCGGGUAUCGUCGCACCACGGUCCCGCGACCGCGGGAUCGGGCUCUCGGAGAAAUUCGGGAGAGAUGAAUGAUCAUCGCCCAGCACUUUGCUAGCAAAGUGCUGGGGACAGAAUUCGGCUUAUCGCCAUCGAAAA